CAUGACGUCACGGAAGAGCGAGCGAAUGAACGGGAUUCAGGAUGCGAAGUUUUCAAAUUCUCCACUCCCGAACUUUAAGUGUCAUGAUUUCAUUUAAUUUGUCCAUGGAGACAUUAACCCUUACAACAACAAAAAACACUCUUUUACUUUGAAGAAUAUGCAAAUGAAAUUAAAACAGAAAACAAAAACAAUAAAUAACUAUACUAAACCAAAAAUGAUCGUACCAUUGCAGACAGACAAAAAUAAUAAACAAAACACAAAGGACCAACCAUGAACAUUAAUUCAAUCAAUCCACACCAGUGGGAAGAAGAAUAAUUUAUUUAAUCCCACCCCUUCUCCAUAAUUGGUCAUAUUUUAUCAUUUAUACAUUUUUUAAUAAUUCGAAUUAAUUAUAUAUUAAUCAUCGAUAAUCUUUCUUUUAUAACAAGAUAUACAUUAAUUUCAGCAUAUUUGUCCCGGAUCUUAUUCUUUUCCCUUAUAUUAACUACAACUAUAUAUUCUUUUAUAUUAUAAUAUAAGGCUAUAAAAUGUAAUGCAAUAUAAAUCACAUGUAGUGUACAAUAUCUGUCAAUCAUUACAAUAUAAUAUGCACUACAAGAUAAACCAUAUAUGAUCAUCUAUUUUUAUAUAUUUAGAUAAUUCAUUUAUCUUGUUUGCUUCCUUGCUAUUUGACUGAUACUUAAUUUUGUGUGAUGGAUAUUUCAUUGAAAUAUGUUGUCUGUUCAUGGCCUUGUUCUGUUAAUUGUUUGUACUUAGGGCACAGAGGGCGACUGAUGAGUAGGACAAAGAAGAUGAUGUGGAAUCCCAUGUUCAUGGAUUAUUCCUUAAUUUGUCACUCAUCUGUAUAUAUCAGUCCUUAUUUUGGCAGCAAUUACAACAGUGUCUACUCUGGUAUGAUGUGACAAGCUUUGCAUACCUGGAUUUGGGGAUUUUUCAGUCACCGACUGACCUCAAGUAGCUGGGUUGUGGUCACAGCUGGGGUUUUUUCGAGGCCUUGAGAAUUUUGAAUGCUGUUUUUCACCUCACCAAAAUUACACAUUUCAGUGGCAUAUGUAGUUUUGAAUGGUACUUAGAUUUAACUAUUGGACUCUAGUCAGUUACUUUGGCUUUGCAAAGCGGAGAAACAGCUACGCUGAAAACCGCACAGAGACUGAAGAUGUGUGCUUCGGGGAGGUAUUGAGAGUGGGCGGAUGUGGCGAGGUGUUGAAAGAGGAAGCACAGCUUGUGCUGCUGCUGGUGAAGAAUGAAGGCAGCUGGACCACUGAAGGUAUGUCUGGGAACUCCAGUCUGUUGGCUGCAGUUCUGACUGUUGUGUCAGUGGUGUCACUGAGUCUGCUGUCUCUUCUCUGCCUGCGCUGUAAAAGGAAGUCCAAGGUCAUACACGAGGAGCUCCAGGCAUAUGAUCUGCCGACAUUCCAACGCGGGGGGAGUGUUUUUGCUGUGAUGCAAUCAAAACCAGUGAAAUCCCAGAGGAAUCAUCAGCAGCCUAUGAAUCGUCAGACUAUGAAAAUGUCAAACAAGAUAAAAGACGAUGAGGAUGACUAUGAGAACUCUGAAUUCCUGGAACAAACUGCGCAGCAAAGUCAAGAUGCAACUUGGCUGUCAACUGUACCUGCUCAGCACCAAACAGCAGACAGACACAGUCAGCAACUAUCUGAUGAGCAGAGAAGAGAAUUUAAAGAACGGGAUAUUUUCCUCAAGAAGUUGGUGGAGACCGAGAACAGGAGAGUUAAAAAGGAUUGAAUAUUGGAUUUAUAUUCAUCAAGUGUCCAGAACCAUGACUCCAAAUGAAAGCCAAUGCUGUUCUAUUAAUGUUGUGCACCAAAGCAACUGUUUGCAAAUGAUGAGGAGCCAGAUUAUGUGAACGAGGACGAGCGCCUGAUCAGGACCAUCAGAAAACAUCAGUGAAAAGAUGCAAACAGACGGAACUGUCUGUUGUUCCUCACUGAAAGUAUUUUUUUAAUAGUUUUUUUUAUUCCUUGUAUGUGUGUCAAAUGAUGUGGACUGCUGUGUGAAUAAAAACGUAUGAACCGUG